rnacentral:rRNA from 1 species
GAUGAACGCUGACAGAAUGCUUAACACAUGCAAGUCUACUUGGAGUAACUUCGGUUAUGGAUGGUGGCGGACGGGUGAGUAACGCGUAAAUAACUUGCCCCCUAGUCUGGGACAACUGUUGGAAACGACAGCUAAUACUAGAUAUUAUGAGACCUUGGCAUCAAGGACUUAUGAAAGCUAUAUGCGCUAGGGGAGAGAUUUGCGUCCUAUUAGCUAGUUGGUGAGGUAAUGGCUCACCAAGGCGACGAUAGGUAGCCGGCCUGAGAGGGUGAACGGCCACAAGGGGACUGAGACACGGCCCUUACUCCUACGGGAGGCAGCAGUGGGGAAUAUUGGACAAUGGACCAAAAGUCUGAUCCAGCAAUUCUGUGUGCUUGAUGAAGGCCUCGGUUGUAAGUAGCUUAAGUAGGUAAGAAGAAGUAGACGGUACCGUACAGAAUAAGACGACGGCGU